rnacentral:lncRNA from 1 species
GGUAGGACCUGUACAUUUGCAUUUCUGACAAACUCCCCAGUGAUGCUGAUGCUGCUAUUCUGGGGGGCCACACUUGGAGAACCACUGGGUUAGAGGAUGGUUUGACAUGUCUCUACCCAAAAUGGGGAAACUUAUUCUGAGGCAAGAGUUCAGAAGACUUCUGAUCUUGGAGGAAGGGCCACCUGCAAGGAAAUAUGCAGAUAGUUAUAGUUGCUGAAAACCACAGGGUAGGCAUAGGAGGGACUGGAGAUAAUGACUUAUUUUUAUUUUUAUUUUUUUCCUGAGUACAUACAUAGAUUUGAAAGCUUGUUAUAAUCACUACUAUUGUUUCUCUUGUCAGAAGCAAAAUACAUUUGGCCUGGAAUGUUAGAAUUUUUGCUCCUCUGGAGUCAGACAUAAUUGGAUUGGAAUUUUAGCUCUGCCAUGCUCAUUGUGAUGCUGUAGCAGAUGAACUAGCUGGGGUGAACUAAGAGUGGGGGAGCAGCCAUUUGGCCUUAGGGCCUCUCCUGCAGAAGUAGCGUCUUUUUAAAACAUUUUUAGCGGUAGCGAGUUGGUGGUUGCUAAGACUGAUUGGGAAUUAGAGGCUGCAAUAAGGAAGCUGGUGGCAGGUGCCUCUAAGCAUGCGUGCCUCACCCCCAGCUCUCUCCCAGUGGAGGGGUGACUCUGGGCUUCAGAGCCCUGAGAAGAAGUCACUCAAUCCAGGAACACAGACAUCUUCACCAGCCCACCGUCAUGGCUGUAAAACCUCCAGAACUCAAGAACUCCUGAAAGUUACGUGGAGAAAGGUUGCGUGGACACUCAUUUUUCUUAAACACCUGUCUCCUCUGCCUAGCAAGGCACGUCACAGCCUUCUUGCUCUUAGGAACAUUGUGUGGCCCAGCAGCCCUACACCUGGGAUCCAUUUUAAACAGGGAACACCAAAAAAAGCACGACAGUAUGAAAAACGGAGCACUAAUAGACUCCAGAAAAAGAGUCAUUCAUAGCAUGAGAGUUGGAACAAGAUGGUGGAGUGUUGUUUUGUUCAACCUCACUUGGAACAUGUUUCUGAAGAGAAAUCAGUCACCACCCCGGGCAUGCCCACGAGUGGCUGCAAAGUGCCGUGAGCAUUGAUUCUGGUGUUACCAAUAAAUUCUAGUGAGUAGGCAAGUUCACAAAUACAGAGUCCACCAAUAAUGAGGAGGAACGGUAUAUGUAUAUAUUUGCUUCUCUAUUUCAUCAUAAGGCAUGUGUAAAUUUGUGUGGUUUCAGGGUGAACAGGUAGAUGGGCACACAGCCCUCUUGGAACUGGUGUGCAUCCUGCAGGAGACAGAGAGAAUAAACAAUUAUCUAAAUAAUUACCUAAUUACAACAGUGGGACCAGCUCUGGUGGAAGGGUACCAGAUGCUGCUAGAGCACUGUAACAAAGUACCCAACCUAGGCUGAGUGGGGAAGGAGGACUUCUCGGAGGAAAUGACAUUCCAGCAAGUGUUCAGAAGGAUGGAUAAAUCUUCAAGAAAACAUUAGUAGGUAUAAAAAGCUGUCCUAGGGAUUUUACUCGAAUUCAUGUCUUCCGAUACUUUGCUUUUCUCUUUUAGGUAGAGUUGGUGACAUUUAUGUCAGCGUAUAUUUUCUAAUGUAGGCAAGCAUUCCCCUUUACACCUGCAGCAAGAUUUUACCCCUAUGGGCUAUUACUUGGAAGCUACCCUCUCUUUAUUUGUUAGUUGGGAACUGGAGCUCGAAGAUGCUGACAAAAUAACCUAUCACACAGUGUGGGGUAGUAAAAUAUGGCUCUAGGAUGGAGAGACCCUUUCUCCUCUCCGUCUUCUGUUUUUUCUUCUCUUUUUGUCAUUUCCAUCCCGCCUCCCUCAUCGGCUCUUUGCUUCCUUUUUUCACACUGACUUUCCCUUUAAAGAUGAUUACUAGGAUUCUGAGAGAUGAAAGAAGCCCUCUGAUUCUUCCCAGUGGGUUAAGCUUCUCACUGGAAGUUGAAUAACCAGGUAGUAUAUUUAAGCUGUGAAAAUGCCUCUGGCUUCC